ensembl:piRNA 21ur-1443 ncRNA
UAAUACGCCCUGUAGUCUUCA